AUCCCUUGUUGCUUCGGUCGGAUCUGUUCAGCCGAGAUGGUGAUAGUCGUCGAACAUCGUGGUGGGGCCCUACGCCAGGGACUCACGGGUGAAGGAGGCAGACUUCGUCAACAGCAGCGCGCGCGAGGGACUGCCCCAAGGACGACCACCUCGAGUUCGCGGUGCUGGGGUGCUCCAACAUCGGCAAGUCCUCGCUCAUCUCCAAGAAGAAAAUAUGAACCAGUGGACAACAAGGGUUGGAGAUGGCAUCUAUCUCGUGGUACGAGUUCGGAAAGAAGGCUGGCUAAAGACAGUGGAUAAAAGAUAUGCAUGCUUUUCAUCACCAGUGGAAUCAACUAUUUCUUUGCACUCCUUGACCCUUCUUAACCUCAGGGGUACCAAUUUGAACAAGAGUGAUAUCGAAGAUCUAUGCAAAAUCUUAGUUAAGAUGCCUAGCUUAGGAGAGUUAGAUAUAGGUGACA